CCUACGGGGGGCUGCAGUGGGGAAUAUUGGACAAUGGGGGGAACCCUGAUCCAGCCAUGCCGCGUGUGUGAAGAAGGCCCUCGGGUUGUAAAGCACUUUCAGUGAGGAAGAACGCCUGGUGGUUAAUACCCAUCAGGAAAGACAUCACUCACAGAAGAAGCACCGGCUAACUCCGUGCCAGCAGCCGCGGUAAUACGGAGGGUGCGAGCGUUAAUCGGAAUUACUGGGCGUAAAGCGCGCGUGGGUGGCUUGAUAAGCCGGUUGUGAAAGCCCCGGGCUCAACCUGGGAACGGCAUCCGGAACUGUCAAGCUAGAGUGCAGGAGAGGAAGGUAGAAUUCCCGGUGUAGCGGUGAAAUGCGUAGAGAUCGGGAGGAAUACCAGUGGCGAAGGCGGCCUUCUGGACUGACACUGACACUGAGGUGCGAAAGCGUGGGUAGCAAACAGGAUUAGAUACCCCUGUAGUC
rnacentral:rRNA from 1 species